GUCUCUGAUGAGGAUGGAGUUUGAAUAAACUUUCGUUCUUCUGAUAAACAUUUCAUGAAGAAUGUUUUUGGAGACCUGAACUGAAGAGAC